AGCGAACGCUGGCGGCAGGCCUAACACAUGCAAGUCGAGCGGUAGCACAGAGAGCUUGCUCUCGGGUGACGAGCGGCGGACGGGUGAGUAAUGUCUGGGAAACUGCCUGAUGGAGGGGGAUAACUACUGGAAACGGUAGCUAAUACCGCAUAACGUCGCAAGACCAAAGAGGGGGACCUUCGGGCCUCUUGCCAUCAGAUGUGCCCAGAUGGGAUUAGCUAGUAGGUGGGGUAACGGCUCACCUAGGCGACGAUCCCUAGCUGGUCUGAGAGGAUGACCAGCCACACGGGAACUGAGACACGGUCCAGACUCCUACGGGAGGCAGCAGUGGGGAAUAUUGCACAAUGGGCGCAAGCCUGAUGCAGCCAUGCCGCGUGUAUGAAGAAGGCCUUCGGGUUGUAAAGUACUUUCAGCGGGGAGGAAGGUGCUGAGGUUAAUAACCUCAGCAAUUGACGUUACCCGCAGAAGAAGCACCGGCUAACUCUGUGCCAGCCGCCGCCGUAAAAC
rnacentral:rRNA from 1 species